UUCGGCGGCCAUAGCGAGAGGGAAACGCCCGGUCACAUUCCGAACCCGGAAGCUAAGACUCUUUGCGCCGAUGGUACUGCAGGGGGGACCCUGUGGGAGAGUAGGACACCGCCGGAC
rnacentral:rRNA from 16 species